AACGCUAGCUACAGGCUUAACACAUGCAAGUCGAGGGGCAGCAUGGACCCAGCUUUGCUGGGUUUGAUGGCGACCGGCGCACGGGUGAGUAACGCGUAUCCAACCUGCCCUUUACUCCGGGAUAGUCUCCUGAAAGGGAGUUUAAUACCGGAUGUGUUUGUCUUUCCGCAUGGGAGCGACAAAUAAAGAUUAAUUGGUAAAGGAUGGGGAUGCGUCCCAUUAGCUUGUUGGCGGGGUAACGGCCCACCAAGGCGACGAUGGGUAGGGGUUCUGAGAGGAAGGUCCCCCACAUUGGAACUGAGACACGGUCCAAACUCCUACGGGAGGCAGCAGUGAGGAAUAUUGGUCAAUGGGCGGGAGCCUGAACCAGCCAAGUAGCGUGAAGGACGACGGCCCUACGGGUUGUAAACUUCUUUUAUAAGGGAAUAAAGUUCGCCACGUGUGGUGUUUUGUAUGUACCUUAUGAAUAAGCAUCGGCUAAUUCCGUGCCAGCAGCCGCGGUAAUACGGAAGAUGCGAGCGUUAUCCGGAUUUAUUGGGUUUAAAGGGAGCGUAGGCGGGCUUUUAAGUCAGCGGUCAAAUGUCGUGGCUCAACCAUGUCAAGCCGUUGAGACUGUAAGCCUUGAGUCUGCACAGGGCGCAUGGAAUUCGUGGUGUAGCGGUGAAAUGCUUAGAUAUCACGAAGAACUCCGAUUG
rnacentral:rRNA from 1 species